rnacentral:rRNA from 1 species
CGGUUUGCCGUUGGCGUAGUCUACAGUAGUAGUUUGACUCCUGGACUCAGGACGAACGCUGGCGGCGUGCCUAACACAUGCAAGUCGAACGGGACUGGGGGCAACUCCAGUUCAGUGGCGGACGGGUGCGUAACACGUGAGGAACAUGACUUUCGGUGGGGAAUAGCCGGCCCAACGCCGGGUAAUACCGCGUACGACCUGUCGGGGACAUCCCCGGUUGGUGAAAGCAGCAAUGCGCCGAAAGAGUGCCUCGCGGCCUAUCAGCUAGUUGGUGGGGUAAUGGCCCACCAAGGCGACGACGGGUAGCUGGUCUGAGAGGAUGGCCAGCCACAUUGGGACUGAGACACGGCCCAGACUCCUACGGGAGGCAGCAGUGGGGAAUAUUGCGCAAUGGGCGAAAGCCUGACGCAGCGACGCCGCGUGUGGGAUGACGGCCUUCGGGUUGUAAACCACUGUCGGGAGGGACGAAUGCGCCGCAAGGCGAGUGACGGUACCUCCAAAGGAAGCACCGGCUAACUCCGUG